GCCAAUAGAGAGCCUACAUACGGGACUUCCGUCUAGAGUGGUGUCAGCCUUUGACACACCACAUGCCGCCGGCCGCCAAAACACAUAGUUGCCCGAGAGAGACGCAGCGCCAUCUUGGUCCCCACACCAGUUUGCUCUGUGCUUGCCGCCGUGAGCCUUGCAGCGGAAUCGCGUUUAAUCCUCGUCUAGGCAGCGUCGAAGGCUGUGGAAACGUGUUAAAUGCGGUCAGCGAAGCCUGAGGAGCAAAAAUGCCUGGUUGUUGCGUACCUCUGUGCACUAACCACUGCAGGAAGGGCGUGCGAAUGUUUCGCUUCCCAACCAGCCCGAGCCGAAGAAAACGCUGGCUCGCGCAAGUGAAGCGAGAGUGCUGGGAGCCCACCACCGCUUCACGUGUUUGCUAUGCUCAUUUCGAAGAUUCAAGCUUCGAACAGAAAAGGCAAGAUGGCUUGAAGAAAUUGAGGCCAGAUGCCGUUCCAACAGUUUUUGCUUUUCGAGCCGCCCCCAAACAUCGGAAGCCACCAAAGAAGCGCAGCUGUCCUGUGCAGCCUUCCUGCGAUGCCACCCCUGCAACUUCCCCGGAGCCACACCAGCCUUUAGAUAGCGAUUCGACUAAGAUGGAUGACAGUGCUCCAGUGCCAACCUUAGUUGUAGAAGAAGAAUCUUGUCAUGCCGGAAAUGAAAACGCUCAUGAAUUGACAUCUGCGCUGGCACCGUGCUUGUUCCCACAGCACCAGGCCAGUACAAUGCUCUUAUACAGCUGAAAGAGUAUGUCAAGAAUAGCGGAAAGCUCAUCCAGCCAAGCCAAACAGUGAUGCAAGUUUUAAUCGAAUGUGAGGAAAACUUUAAGACUUUCGCAAACAUGAAUGAGAUCCUGACUCUCAAAGCUCCAUUUACAGGUAUCCUGAGUGCCUUGCGGAAGUCUGUGGCUAUGAGAUUAGGGUGUUGUGAUGCGCAUGAAUCAAGGGCAUGCAAAAUGCUCCUUGAGAAGUAUGUGAGGACAAGACUUAAGAUUCAUCUCCGACAGCAGCAUGUGCAAAGGGUGAACGGACAGUCCAGCAAAACCUGUGCCGCUGCUAAUCUUAUCUGAGCCGUGUGUGGCGUCUCAGUGGUUAAUUUAAUGCUGCUGUGGUUGUGUGAUGUGUUUGCAGAAGUGUUUGACGUGUGCCUCUGGAUGUCUUUUUAACGCCUCGAGCAGGUGGGGCAUUCACUAAAAUGUUUCGCACCAAAGCUCUUUGUUCAUUGCUUAGUGUACUGAAAAACAGCAUGCUUCCAUGCGUUCUAGCUGCUAAUAUUGACUUUACCUGAAUGCAGCAUCACUAGUAUCAGAUUAACUUUCUUUAAUGCUGGUCUUUUUCGUAUGGCUGUAACAUAUUUUGUUGACAGAUAUCAUUGGCAGUCUUGAUUUCAGUGAUGUGUUGUAUCCUGCGACUGCACAGUUGUGCUGAGAAAAUAUGUGAGAAUACUUCGAAGGCGUAUUGCUAUUGCAUAAUCAGAAAGUGACUAUGUGCACCAGAAUUUAAUGGCGCAAGAAUGUAGGUUUGUAUUGAAGUUAUGUGGUAUUGUGUGCUCCGCCUGGUACAGUGGCAGUGAAAGUUUGCAUAACCGUGGUCUCCUGUGACGGCUUUACUUGAAUUUAUAUUCUUUGAACUGGCAUGAACUUUUUGGCUUUAUUACUGUUUGACUCAUGUUUUGGUGCUUGCUAUGCGACAUUUAUUAUGCACAUAUGUUGUUUAUUCAAAGCAACUAAUCUUUUCGUAUUCAUUUU